rnacentral:rRNA from 1 species
UACGUAGGCAGCAAGCGUUGUUCGGAGUUACUGGGCGUAAAGGGUGUGUAGGCGGUUCUUUAAGUUUGGUGUGAAAUCUCCCGGCUCAACCGGGAGGGUGCGCCGAAUACUGAGGGACUAGAGUGCGGGAGAGGAAGUGGAAUUCCUGGUGUAGCGGUGAAAUGCGUAGAUAUCAGGAGGAACACCGGUGGUGUAGACGGCUUUCUGGACCGUAACUGACGCUGAGACACGAAAGCGUGGGUAGCAAACAGG